CCAGGUGGAUGCCUGGUUCCUGAAGAGGCCAGAAGAUGGAAAUGAAUCCCCUGGAACUGGAGUUACAGAUGGGUUGAGCUAUCAGGUAAAUACUGCUGAUGGAUGGAUUUCUUCAGUGUUGCCUGGCAAGGGUCAAUUGUGGCAAUCUAUCCAAGUUUUUUGUCUCUGUGGAUGCUAUUCUGAGAUCUACUUUUCUGAAUGAGCUCAUUAAUUCCUUGAAAGAAUUUCAUCAGUGAUGACUUGAAGAUUUUUCCAAAAUCUUUAGUUACAUGUCCUGAACUUUCUUUUUGCAUAUGUCAGAUAUUGACAACUGGAGGAAUUUUGAGAUGUUUAUAUGCUAGAUUGGGUAGUUAGGUAUCUUUGCUUUAGAAUUUGACUUAUGAUCAAAUGCAGACGGAGUAUCCACAGUACAUCAUCCAUUGUUUGGAGAUAGAAUCAUGGCUACUACUAAGUGAUAUGCUUAGAAAUUCCCAUAAUUUACUGUUAAUGCUUUUUACCACACUCUGUCACCUUUUAACUAUUGUCAUAUCAAAGUAAUUAAUUCACUGCUAUUUGAAAUCUGCCUACAAUAAACAUAAUUCUCUUCUCUGUG